CAGCUUCGCCUCAAUCCUUCCCCUCUCGAGCUCGACCUGAGUCAACAAGGACGACGGUGUUCCGACGAAGGGAGCAUAAAUCACCUACCCCUCACACUUCCGUCUCAAAUCUAUGAUCUCACCAAGGCAAAGAAAACACAUCCCGAUCCAUAAGAGUCAAGGAUGAAGGUGAUCUCACGGGAGAUUGAUCGAAGUGGAGAUGAAAUCGCGGCUUCAGCAUUGCCCACGAGGUGUUUGACGAAAGUCCCAUUGAUCUUUUAUGUUGCUCCUUUGUGCGUGCCAUCCACGUCUUCGCAACAAUGGGAGAUGAACUAUGCGACGGACGUGACAUAUGUGGCGUCUCGUCGUCACCCUGCGAUCGAGACUCAAUUUCCCUUAGCGCGCAAAUUUGAAACGAAACUAAAGAUUGAAGACUUACCGUAUAUGAAUCUGACAAGGUGAUUUUGCAGAGUCGGCGUCGAUGGAAAAUGUUUUGCACUUCUCCCUCUUCAGAUGUGUGGUGAUUCGUUGAUGUGGUUCUUCCAAGUCCGAAAGGUUGUGUGAGAUUUUGGAUAAGUGAGGUGAAUCACGAUGAGGCCGUUGUAACCGUGCAUAAUUUGGUUCCGAAAGGCGCUUCCAUGCGGUGGCGAAACGGAUGCGACUCCGGGUUUAUGGUGAUUACAGAGUAGAAAAUAAUGGGAAAUUUGCAGAAUGAGCCAUCUGCGAUGCAGAGUGCCAUGAUGUAUUUAUAGAGUUUAUAGUUGAUUGAGUUAUGGUUGGGAUUGGCGAGAUUCUGAAACUGAUGCGGUUAGAAGUUGAAACGUUUGUUGAACCUGUUGUGGAAGGUUGGUUUCAGGGUUAGUAGAGGCUUUGUUUAUACAUUGCCAUUUUGCUGUGAACAUGACAGAAUUCCACUUGGCCUAUGCUUGUGUUUUGGCUUGGUAAGUUGUUAAGGAAUGCUGCAGGUUUGACAACAUAAUAGUAGUAGGUUCCAAAAUAUAGACUCUCUUUGCCACGUUGAUCGUUCAAUACAUCACCGGUUAGAAACAGGAGAAACACAAUUAAAUAUGUGAACUGGGAUAAAACAAAGCUGGCCAGUGCCACCGUCCAACUGUCAUCAGGGAUUCACCAAUUUCUUCUACAACAAAAGCAUCCAGUUCAGAGAUUUAUGAUAAUUUGGGAAAUCAUAAGAGACAGUGCCACAUUUAACCAAGAGGAAGAGCUGGACUUCAAAGGUACUUGCACUGAUUUGGAGAGGUAACCUGAAUUUGAUAACCCUUAAUCCUCGUUGCUACAGUAGCAAAGACAGUUGCAGCUGAUAAGAGCCCUAAGAAGCCCACAACGCAGCACACCGCCACAACUUUUCUCUCCAUUUUCUCUUCCCUUCUCUUCUCUCUCUAUUUGCGGUUGUGUUUUGCUGUUUUUCCCAGAUUUGAAAUGUUUUGUGGACUUGUGCAGCUAUGAGGCGCAGGUGAACUUGUGGUCAUCAUUGGUGCAAUGUUUUGGGCAGCGAACCUUGAACAUUAGACUAAAAUCUCCCCGAAAUUGGUUCCAGGAUGCAUUAGACUAAAAUCUUCCAGGACGGUAAAAGGAUAAACCGGGAUUUCCAUAACCCGGUGCGUCACUGACAGUGCAUGGAUGUGACCUACCUAUGAAGGACUCAAAUCUACUUUGGGGAGGGCUUUUGUUAUUCGUGUUUUUUUUAUGUAGUGCCAAACUCAUAUGAACUUGUAACUCAACGUAAUGCAGACCAAUAUAUUUUUUCAUUUCAAAUGCAUAUGUACAUGCCUUAUGGAUAUAAUAUGAUUAAAACAAAAUUCCUAAGGCUUAUAUGAACUCAACUCAAUGUAAUGCAAACCAAUGUUCUUUCA